rnacentral:rRNA from 1 species
UACGAAGGGGGCUAGCGUUGUUCGGAAUCACUGGGUUUAAGGGUGCGUAGGCGGGCUAGGUAAGUCCGUGGUGAAAAUCUCGUGAGCUUGAACUCAGAAACUGCCAUGGAUACUAUUUGUCUUGAAUAUUGUGGAGGUAAGCGGAAUAUGUCAUGUAGCGGAUGAAUGCUUAGAUAAUGACAUAGAACACCAAAUUGCGAAGGCAGCUUACUACAACAGUAAUUGACGCUGAGGCACGAAAGCGUGGGGAUCAAACAGGA